rnacentral:rRNA from 1 species
AUUGAACGCUGGCGGCAGGCCUAACACAUGCAAGUCGAACGCGUGGCGGACGGGUGAGUAAUGUCUGGGACACUGCGCGUUGGAGGGGGAUAACUCCUGGAAACGGUAGCUAAUACCGCAUACCCUCGGAUGUGCCCACAGGGGAUUAGCUUGUAGGUGUGGUAACGGCUCACCUAGGCGACGAUACCUAGCUGGUCUGAGAGGAUGACCAGCCACACUGGAACUGAGACACGUGCCAGACUCCUACGGGAGGCAGCAGUGGGGAAUAUUGCACAAUGGGCGCAAGCCUGAUGCAGCCAUGCCGCGUGUAUGAAGAAGGCCUUCGGGUUGUAAAGUACUUUCAGCGGGGAGGCGUUACCCGCAGAAGAAGCACCGGCUAACUCCGUGCCAGCAGCCGCGGUAAUUC